rnacentral:rRNA from 1 species
UACAGAGGUCUCAAGCGUUGUUCGGAUUCAUUGGGCGUAAAGGGUGCGUAGGUGGCGGGGUAAGUCGGAUGUGAAAUCCCGGGGCUCAACCCCGGAACUGCAUUCGAUACUGCCUUGCUCGAGUACUGGAGAGGAGAUUGGAAUUUACGGUGUAGCAGUGAAAUGCGUAGAUAUCGUAAGGAAGACCAGUGGCGAAGGCGGGUCUCUGGACAGUUCCUGACGCUGAGGCACGAAGGCCAGGGGAGCAAACGGG